UCAGUUAUCGUUUAUUUGAUAGUACCUUACUACAUGGAUAACCGUGGUAAUUCUAGAGCUAAUACAUGCUGAAAAUCCCGACUUCGGAAGGGAUGUAUUUAUUAGAUUAAAAACCAAUGCCCUUCGGGGCUCUCUGGUGAUUCAUAAUAACUUCUCGAAUCGCACGGCCUUGCGCCGGCGAUGGUUCAUUCAAAUUUCUGCCCUAUCAACUUUCGACGGCUGGGUCUUGGCCAGCCAUGGUGACAACGGGUAACGGAGGGUUAGGGCUCGACCCCGGAGAAGGAGCCUGAGAAACGGCUACU
rnacentral:rRNA from 1 species